GCCCUCGUGGCCCAUGGUGGUCGCAUACUUCCUAGCAGUGAGGAGGUGGAGGUUCGAUUCCUCUCGGGGGUU